rnacentral:rRNA from 1 species
AGUGAACGCUGGCGGUAGGCCUAACACAUGCAAGUCGAACGGCAGCACAGUAAGAGUUUGCUCUUACGGGUGGCGAGUGGCGGACGGGUGAGGAAUACAUCGGAAUCUACUUUUUCGUGGGGGAUAACGUAGGGAAACUUACGCUAAUACCGCAUACGACCUACGGGUGAAAGCAGGGGAUCUUCGGACCUUGCGCGAUUGAAUGAGCCGAUGUCGGAUUAGCUAGUUGGCGGGGUAAAGGCCCACCAAGGCGACGAUCCGUAGCUGGUCUGAGAGGAUGAUCAGCCACACUGGAACUGGGACACGGUCCAGACUCCUACGGGAGGCAGCAGUGGGGAAUAUUGGACAAUGGGCGCAAGCCUGAUCCAGCCAUACCGCGUGGGUGAAGAAGGCCUUCGGGUUGUAAAGCCCUUUUGUUGGGAAAGAAAAGCAGCAGGUUAAUACCCCGCUGUUCUGACGGUACCCAAAGAAUAAGCACCGGCUAACUUCGUG